ensembl:misc_RNA 7SK 7SK RNA
GGAUGUGAAGGCGAAUUUCCUGUGACAUCUGUCACCCCACUGAUUACCAGGGUUGAUUCAGCUGAUCUGACUAGCUAGGUGAGUGUAUCCCUCUACCAAUCCAUGUGUGUCCCUCCUGAAACAGCAUCUUCACUCAAAGAGGACAACCUUGCCCAAUAGAGGCGGACCGUUCCCCUGCUAGAACCUCCAAAUGAGUUCUCAAAAUGGAAGUCAGGCCACAGACUUACCUAACCAUGGAGAGAGGGCAGGAACUUUUUAGCUUCAAUAAAGGUGCACACCACCAUUGCUACCCAUCUACCCUCCUUU